rnacentral:rRNA from 1 species
UCGAGAAUCUUCGGCAAUGGGCGCAAGCCUGACCGAGCGACGCCGCGUGCGGGAUGAAGGCCCUUGGGUUGUAAACCGCUGUCAGAGGGGAUGAAGUGCCGGAGAGCAAUCUCUUCGGUUUGACAUAGCCUCAGAGGAAGCACGGGCUAAGUUCGUGCCAGCAGCCGCGGUAAUACGAACUGUGCGAACGUUAUUCGGAAUCACUGGGCUUAAAGGGUGCGUAGGCGGCUGUUUAAGUAGGGUGUGAAAGCCCCCGGCUCAACCGGGGAAUUGCGCCCUAAACUGGACAGCUUGAGUGAGGUAGGGGUGUACGGAACUUCCGGUGGAGCGGUGAAAUGUGUUGAUAUCGGAAGGAACGCCGGUAGCGAAAGCGGUACACUGGGUCUCAACUGACGCUGAGGCACGAAAGCCAGGGGAGCGAACG